CUACUGCGAUUUAUCGUACUGUAGCAAUAACGAUAAUCAAUGAAUUCCUCUUUGACUGACCAAUAGCGAUAUUGGUCAUUUUUUU
rnacentral:sRNA from 1 species